rnacentral:rRNA from 1 species
GUAGGUGGCAAGCGUUGUCCGGGAAUUAUUGGGGCGUAAAGCGCGCGCAGGCGGUUUUUUAAGUCUGAUGUGAAAGCCCACGGGCUCAACCGUGGAGGGUCAUUGGAAACUGGAGAACUCGAGUACAGAAGAGGAAAGCGGAAUUCCACGUGUAGCGGUGAAAUGCGUAGAGAUGUGGAGGAACACCAGUGGCGAAGGCGGCUUUCUGGUCUGUAACUGACGCUGAGGCGCGAAAGCGUGGGGAGCAAACAGGAUUAGAUACCCUGGUAGUCCACGCCGUAAACGAUGAGUGCUAAGUGUUAGGGGGUUUCCGCCCCUUAGUGCUGCAGCUAACGCAUUAAGCACUCCGCCUGGGGAGUACGGCCGCAAAGGCUGA